rnacentral:lncRNA from 1 species
AUUUAAUGUUUUGAGAGUCGAGGAGGACAGAGAUAGAUGUAACGACCUCGAAAAUUUAAAAGGAAAUGUAUAUAAAGAAUAUGAAUGCAGAAGCGAAAUAAAAUGUUCUGAUUAAUAUCCCUUACACCAUAACUUAAACGUACUAACAAUAUUAGCAAAAUAAGUCCUAUAAAGGGAAUACUAGAAACGAAAGACUAUAAAGGAAACUAAUAAACAUGUAGGUAUCUACUCGCCGUAUUCUUGUGGAUCGGGU